AUCUAUCUGACGAGUCCCAAGUAGGACGAAGUGCACAUCCUGGAC
rnacentral:hammerhead_ribozyme from 1 species